UAUCCUUCCGAAAGGAGGGGCAAUACCGAAUAUUGUCCGGAGCCAUGAAGGGUUCCGGGAAAGGGAGGCCUCUGAUACAAGCUUUCGCCUUAAGAUGAGCCCAUGGCCCAUCAGCGUAGUUGGUAGGGUAAAGGCCUACCAAGGCUACGACGGGUCGCUGGUCUGAGAGGACGACCAGCCACACUGGCACUGAGAUACGGGCCAGACUCCUACGGGAGGCAGCAGUGAGGAAUAUUGCGCAAUGGGGGAAACCCUGACGCAGCAACGCCGCGUGUGGGAAGAAGGCCUUCGGGUCGUAAACCACUUUUUGCACGGGACGAAAAAGGGAUAUCGAACAAAUAUCCCCGAUGACGGUACCGUGAGAAUAAGCCACGGCUAACUCUGUGCCAGCAGCCGCGGUAAGACAGAGGUGGCAAGCGUUGUUCGGAAUUACUGGGCGUAAAGAGUCUGUA
rnacentral:rRNA from 1 species